rnacentral:rRNA from 1 species
GACGAACGCUGGCGGCGUGCUUAACACAUGCAAGUCGAACGGAAGGCCCCGCCUUUGUGGGGUGCCCGAGUGGCGAACGGGUGAGUAACACGUGAGUAACCUGCCCUUGACUUUGUGAUAACUUCAGGAAACUGGGGCUAAUACCGGAUAGGAGCCCCUGCUGCAUGGUGGGGGUUGGAAAGUUUCGGCGGUUGGGGAUGGACUCGCGGCUUAUCAGCUUGUUGGUGGGGUAGUGGCUUACCAAGGCUUUGACGGGUAGCCGGCCUGAGAGGGUGACCGGCCACAUUGGGACUGAGAUACGGCCCAGACUCCUACGGGAGGCAGCAGUGGGGAAUAUUGCACAAUGGGCGGAAGCCUGAUGCAGCAACGCCGCGUGCGGGAUGACGGCCUUCGGGUUGUAAACCGCUUUCGCCUGUGACGAAGCGUGAGUGACGGUAAUGGGUAAAGAAGCACCGGCUAACUACGUG